rnacentral:rRNA from 1 species
ACGUAGGUGGCGAGCGUUGUCCGGAAUUACUGGGUGUAAAGGGAGCGCAGGCGGGGAGACAAGUCAGCUGUGAAAACUAUCGGCUUAACUGAUAGAGGGCAGUUGAAACUGUUUAUCUUGAGUGGAGUAGAGGCAGACAGAAUUCCGAGUGUAGCGGUGGAAUGCGUAGAGAUUCGGAGGAACACCAAUGGCGAAGGCAGCCUGCUGGGCUUUAAUUGACGCUCAGCCGCGAAAGUGUGGGGAUCAAACAG